GGGCCCGUGGCCAAGUGGAUAAGGCAGCAGCCUCCUAUUUUUUGGGGGAAAGCUGCAAAUCCGGGGUUCGAAUCCCCGCGGGCCCG
rnacentral:tRNA from 1 species